rnacentral:rRNA from 1 species
UUCAACACUGUUUCUCAUGGAGUGGUGCCUGGUAAGUCGGCAUACCCAGUGGGUAAGAUUGAGUUGGAGGUAGCUUUUGGAGAUGAGCAUGAUUCCAGGGCCAAGAAAUUAACCUUUGAGGUGGUCAAAAUCAAGAGCCCGUAUCAUGCCCUGUUUGGGCGACCGGCUUAUGCCAAGUUCAUGGCACGGCCCUGUUAUGUUUAUUUACAGCUCAAAAUGCCGGGUCAUAAGGGCACCAUCACAGUGCAUGAGAGCCGGAAGAUAGACUUGGAAUGUGAGGAAGGCAGCGCUGCUUAUGCUGAAUCUGCUCGUGCAACAGAGGAGUUAAAGUUCUAUAAGGAUAACGUUGACCCGGCAGAUAUGACGUCUUUGAAAAAGCCAACUAUGGAGCAUGAGUCAUUGCUAAAGUUUAAGUCGGCGGAUGACACUAAACUUGUUGAUUUUGUUCCAGGUGACUCAUCUAAGCAGUUUAGUAUC